UACGUAGGGUGCAAGCGUUGUCCGGAAUUAUUGGGCGUAAAGAGCGUGUAGGCGGUUCGAUUAGUCCGCUGUGAAAGCCCAGGGCUCAACCCUGGAAUGGCGGUGGAUACUGGCGGGCUAGAGUCCGGAAGGGGCGAGUGGAAUUCCUGGUGUAGCGGUGAAAUGCGCAGAUAUCAGGAGGAACACCGAUGGCGAAGGCAGCUCGCUGGGACGUGACUGACGCUGAGACGCGAAAGCGUGGGGAGCAAACAGG
rnacentral:rRNA from 1 species